rnacentral:rRNA from 1 species
UGGGGAAUAUUGGACAAUGGGCGAAAGCCUGAUCCAGCCAUGCCGCGUGUGUGAAGAAGGUCUUCGGAUUGUAAAGCACUUUAAGUUGGGAGGAAGGGCAGUAAGCGAAUACCUUGCUGUUUUGACGUUACCGACAGAAUAAGCACCGGCUAACUCUGUGCUAGCAGCCGCGGUAAUACAGAGGGUGCGAGCGUUAAUCGGAUUUACUGGGCGUAAAGCGUGCGUAGGCGGCUAAUUGAGUCGGAUGUGAAAUCCCCGAGCUUAACUUGGGAAUUGCAUUCGAUACUGGUUAGCUAGAGUGUGGUAGAGGAUGGUAGAAUUCCAGGUGUAGCGGAGAAAUGCGUAGAGAUCUGGAGGAAUACCGAUGGCGAAGGCAGCCAUCUGGCCUAACACUGACGCUGAGGUACGAAAGCAUGGGGAGCAAACAGG